GAUGAACGCUGGCGGCGUGCCUAAUACAUGCAAGUCGAGCGAACGGGCGAGAGCCUUGCUUCUCGGAUGUUAUCGGCGGACGGGUGAAUAGCACGUGGAUAACCUACCGAUAAGACGGGGAUAAAUUCGAGAAACCGGAGCUAAUCCCAUAUGAUAUUUUGUACCACAUGGUUCAAAAAUAAAAUACGAUCGUGCUAUUACUUGUAGGUGGAGCGUCGCUGCAUUAGCUAGUUGGUAAGGUAACUGCUUACCAAGGCAACGAUUCAUAGCCGACCUGAGAGGGUGAUCGGCCACACUGGAACUGAGACCCGGUCCAGACUCCUACGGGAGGCAGAAGUAGGGAAUCUUCCGCAAUGGGCGAAAGCCUGCCGGAGAACCGCCGCGUGAGUGAUGAAGGUCUUCGGAUCGUAAAACUCUGUUAUUAGGGAAGAACAUAUGUGUAAGUAACUGUGCACACCUUGACGGUACCUAACCAGAAAGCCACGGCUAACUACGUG
rnacentral:rRNA from 1 species